UACGUAGGGGGGCUAGCGUUGUCCGGAUUUAUUGGGCGUAAAGAGCGUGUAGGCGGCCUGGUAGGUCUGCUGUGAAAACUCGAGGCUCAACCUCGAGAUGUCGGCGGAAACCAUCUGGCUAGAGUCCGGGAAGAGGAGAGUGGAAUUCCUGGUGUAGCGGUGAAAUGCGCAGAUAUCAGGAAGAACACCUAUGGCGAAGGCAGCUCUCUGGGACGGUACUGACGCUGAGACGCGAAAGCGUGGGGAGCGAACAGG
rnacentral:rRNA from 1 species